GAACGCUGGCGGCGUGCUUAACACAUGCAAGUCGAGCGGAAAGGCCCUUCGGGGUACUCGAGCGGCGAACGGGUGAGUAACACGUGAGCAACCUGCCCUAGGCUUUGGGAUAACCCCGGGAAACCGGGGCUAAUACCGAAUAGGACCACCGGCCGCAUGGUUGGUGGUGGAAAGUUUUUCGGCCUGGGAUGGGCUCGCGGCCUAUCAGCUUGUUGGUGGGGUGAUGGCCUACCAAGGCGACGACGGGUAGCCGGCCUGAGAGGGCGACCGGCCACACUGGGACUGAGACACGGCCCAGACUCCUACGGGAGGCAGCAGUGGGGAAUAUUGCACAAUGGGCGGAAGCCUGAUGCAGCGACGCCGCGUGAGNGAUGACGGCCUUCGGGUUGUAAACCUCUUUCAGCAGGGACGAAGCGUAAGUGACGGUACCUGCAGAAGAAGCGCCGGCCAACUACGUGCCAGCAGCCGCGGUAAGACGUAGGGCGCGAGCGUUGUCCGGAUUUAUUGGGCGUAAAGAGCUCGUAGGCGGC
rnacentral:rRNA from 1 species